GAUGUGUUGUCAGAUGUUCAGGUGGAUCAGUCGGGUCCAGGUGUCUCACUCUGUCCUCAGAUGUUCAGGUGGAUCAGUCGGGUCCAGGUGUCUCACUCUGUCCUCAGAUGUUCAGGUGGAUCAGUCGGGUCCAGGUGUCUCACUCUGUCCUCAGAUGUUCAGGUGGAUCAGUUGGGUCCAGGUGUCUCACUCUGUCCUCAGAUGUUCAGGUGGAUCAGUCGGGUCCAGGUGUCUCACUCUGUCCUCAGAUGUUCAGGUGGAUCAGUUGGGUUCAGGUGUCUCACUCUGUCCUCAGAUGUUCAGGUGGAUCAGUCGGGUCCAGGUGUCUCACUCUGUCCUCAGAUGUUCAGGUGGAUCAGUCGGGUCCAGGUGUCUCACUCUGUCCUCAGAUGUUCAGGUGGAUCAGUCGGGUCCAGGUGUCUCACUCUGUCCUCAGAUGUUCAGGUGGAUCAGUCGGGUCCAGGUGUCUCACUGUGUCCUCCUCU